rnacentral:rRNA from 1 species
UGGGGAAUUUUGGACAAUGGGCGAAAGCCUGAUCCAGCAAUGCCGCGUGUGUGAAGAAGGCCUUCGGGUUGUAAAGCACUUUUGUCCGGAAAGAAAUCCUUGGCUCUAAUACAGUCGGGGGAUGACGGUACCGGAAGAAUAAGCACCGGCUAACUACGUGCCAGCAGCCGCGGUAAUACGUAGGGUGCAAGCGUUAAUCGGAAUUACUGGGCGUAAAGCGUGCGCAGGCGGUUUGCUAAGACCGAUGUGAAAUCCCCGGGCUCAACCUGGGAACUGCAUUGGUGACUGGCAGGCUAGAGUAUGGCAGAGGGGGGUAGAAUUCCACGUGUAGCAGUGAAAUGCGUAGAGAUGUGGAGGAAUACCGAUGGCGAAGGCAGCCCCCUGGGCCAAUACUGACGCUCAUGCACGAAAGCGUGGGGAGCAAACAGGAUUAGAUACCCUGGUAGUCCACGCCCUAAAACGAUGUCAACUAGUUGUUGGGGAUUCAUUUCCUUAGUAACGUAGCUAACGCGUGAAGUUGACCGCCUGGGGAGUACGGUCGCAAGAUUAAAACUCAAUGAAUUGACGGGGUCAUAGCUG